GGGUGGGGGUUAGGGUUAAAAAUCUCGUCUGUCGUUUUGGUGCCCACUUCUUUGUCUAGGAAGCAGAGAGCUAGGAUUCAGUCCAGAAGGCCCCUUAAAGACCCAGACCCCGGACGCCUCUGGUUUCAGCAGCUCACUCCGCGGAGUUAUUGAUUGCAGGCGGCAACGAUCCCCCGGCUGAUUUGUGUGGAAAGUGGAUCGCGCUGGCUCGGCGUUCAGCAGAGGCGCGAGAGCCCCAACGCCAUCCAAUUAUUGCCGGUCCUCCCCUCCUACACUGCUCUCACCACCUAUAUACUCCUUUCUCGGCCGUCUCCACUUCCCCCCACCCACUUUUCUCCCGGCGGACGGAGCUGAGGGGGCGGGGGCUCCCUCCCGGGAGUGUUUCUAGAGCCCGGAGGCUGCUAGGAGGGGGGCACCACUUUCAGAUAAAAACAUAGGCCUGGAUGGCAUCAUCCAGUAUCCAAGGAAACCAUGUCUCUAAGUCCACUGAUGACAGGAAAAUCUUCAGUGGUUCCAGAGACAAGCUGCUAGAAGUCCUGCACAUUUAUCUUCUAGAAGGAAGUGGAACCACUUCCGCACAGAGUCCUCUGACUUUGGAUGUCACCCUAGAAGCUGCCUGUAGCUCCAGUGUGCUUCCUCCCUGAAGUAGCGGAAGGGCCAAGAAGCUGGAGGGACGUUUCCUGAGUCUUCCCUGGCUUUUUGAAGUGAUGUCAACUUUUGGAUUGCAUGCAGGUGGAAAGUGGAGAGCUCUAGACCUUCAUUUUCAAUGAGGCACCCAGCAGCUUCCCAGAUGGUGGAGGCAUCAUCUGCCUGGAGUGGGAAGAUGUGCAGGAGCGCUCCCAGUUGUCCUGUGAUGAACAUGCCACAUGAACAAGGUGCACACUUUUGUUGUGCUGAUCUAAUGCAGUUUUGGAGCUGUUAUCUUAGUGUAACCUAGCCUGUCCUGAUUACAGUGUGAUUUGGAGAAAUUUAAAGAACAGCAUUCUUUAUUGAAAUAUAUUGGUCAUAGAACAUUGUGUAAAUUUGGGGUUCAAUUAAAAAUAAACAAACAAAUAAUUAACACAUGUGGGAAAAAAAAGAGCACCGUUCUUUAUCUUUUUGCAGACUCAGAGGCUAUAAUGCUUCAACUCUCUUUGCCAGAAUACAAUGGACUGUUUUUGCCUUGGCUGGUGAUAAGGUCAUGAAUUUAUGGUCAAACUAUGUUUUUUCUGACAGAAACUUAAAUGUACAUUUGGCCAAACCAGUAAACUGGCUUAGUGCCUGAACUAACCAGAAACAACCUCUUUGACUGUUGUCUUGUAAAUUAAGCCAAAGUUUUAUGAGAUAAUAUUCAUCAUCAGCCAGAUCCCUUUCAUUUUCCUUUUUGUCAGCUUUUUCCUUUCAUACACUUCACACCCUGCAGCCACUUUCUCUCUCCUUUACCUGUGUGGUAUUCACCUAACAACAAGAGAAAGUGAGUAUUUUUACUUUAUACAACAGAUUCUGGCAAAAUAUUUGUGUUUCUAUUUCCACAGUAAUUUAAAUUGUUUCUCCUGUUAAGUGGAAAACAAAGUUAGAUGUUGGUCCUAUGGAAUCUUUGCUAAGUGAUGUUAUUUCCAUUAUGUGUUUUUGGGCUCCAAAUAAUAUUUGGACCCUUUGUAAUAUAGGAACUAGAACACAUGUAAUUUUAAAGCAGUCUUACCGUGUUUUUGUGUUAAUUUCUGAGAUCAGCCCAGUUCAACAGCUUGAGUGGUGUUUCUGUGAGCAUAGCUAAAUGAAUACUAAACAAGGUAUGUGUGUGUGUGUGUGCAUGCAUGUGCACAUACAUGUUCGUGUACUUAAAGCAAAAUAAAAGACCUGUAACAGUUAAAAAUGGACACUUACCAAUUUUUAAAUUACGACAAGUAAUACCAUUAAAUUUGUUCCUACUCUUUCUCCAGAAUUACUACAAUAAAACUCCACACUUAUGGACUUACUUAACAGAAGGCCAUGAUUACUUCUGGAAAUAUCUAAAUAGAGACAAAAUUUAUUCUUUAUAUUAUUGACCAGUAGUAAACUCUUUUUCUUAAGCCACAGAAAGGAAAUUUCUAAAAUUUUAUGAGGCAUUAUGGUAUGGUAUAAGUUGUUCAAAAAGUUAUUUUUUGCAUUUGCAAAUAUCAAUGUUUCUUUAUAGUGGUUUUGCACAAGAUUUACUAUUUGUCAGUUCCAUCUACAUUGUAUGUGCCAAUAAGGAGUCUCUACAAAAAAUUUUAAAGGUAAUAAACAUUCAUUAUUAUACAGGAUUAAUAUAAUUGUCUAGAUACAAGAGAGUAUCUCCCAAAGUUAAACCUAUGUAUUCAUUUCAAAUUUGCCUUAUUUUUAUGAUUUAUUUUUAUUUAUUUUUUGCAAUGGUAACAAAUAUCUCAUUUUAAAAUAAUUUAAAUUCAUUUUUUGUUGUCAAAAUAUUGAGAGAGAAGUUCAGUGAUCAUUUUGUUAAAUAAUAAA